rnacentral:rRNA from 1 species
CCUACGGGUGGCAGCAGUCGAGAAUCAUUCACAAUGGGCGAAACCCUGAUGGUGCGACGCCGCGUGGGGGAAUGAUGGUCUUCGGAUUGUAAACCCCUGUCAUGUGGGAGCAAAUUAAAAAGAUAGUACCACAAGAGGAAGAGACGGCUAACUCUGUGCCAGCAGCCGCGGUAAUACAGAGGUCUCAAGCGUUGUUCGGACUCACUGGGCGUAAAGCGUGCGUAGGCGGUUUCGUAAGUCGUGUGUGAAAGGCGGGGGCUCAACCCGCGGACGGCACAUGAUACUGCGAGACUAGAGUAAUGGAGGGGGAACCGGAAUGCUCGGUGUAGCAGUGAAAUGCGUAGAUAUCGAGAGGAACACUCGUGGCGAAGGCGGGUUCCUGGACAUUAACUGACGCUGAGGCACGAAGGCCAGGGGAGCGAAAGGGAUUAGAUACCCGGGUAGUC